rnacentral:rRNA from 1 species
UACGGGGGGAGCAAGCGUUGUUCGGAUUUAUUGGGCGUAAAGAGCUCGUAGGCGGUGUGUCGCGUCGGCCGUGAAAACCUGCAGCUCAACUGUGGGCUUGCGGUCGAUACGGGCAUCACUGGAGUUCGGCAGGGGAGACUGGAAUUCCUGGUGGUAGCGGUGAAAUGACGCAGAUAUCAGGAGGAACACCGGUGGCGAAGGCGGGUCUCUGGGCCGAUACUGACGCUGAGGAGCGAAAGCAUGGGGAGCGAACAGG